UGCAGUCGUACGAGGACGGAUAUUAGCUCGCUAAUAUUGUCAGCUAAGUGGCGCACGGGUGAGUAAUAUAUAGUUAAUCUGCCCCAAAGAAGAGAAUAAUUGUUGGAAGCGACUUGUAACGCUCUAUAUGCCUUUAUUACAUAAGUAAGCAAGGGAAAACAUUUAUGGCUUUGGGAUGAGACUGUACGGUAUCAGCUAGUUGGUGAGGUAAUGGCUCACCAAGGCUAUGACAUCUAACUGGUUUGAGAGGAUGAUCAGUCACACUGGAACUGAGACACGGUCCAGACUCCUACGGGAGGCAGCAGUGGGGAAUAUUGCACAAUGGAGGAAACUCUGAUGCAGCAACGCCGCGUGGAGGAUGACACAUUUCGGUGCGUAAACUCCUUUUAUAUGAGAAGAUAAUGACGGUAUCAUAUGAAUAGGCACCGGCUAACUCCGUGCCAGCAGCCGCGGUAAUACGGGGGGUGCAAGCGUUACUCGGAAUCACUGGGCGUAAAGAGCAUGUAGGCUGGUUUGUAAGUUGGAAGUGAAAUCCUAUGGCUUAACCAUAGAACUGCUUCCAAAACUGCAGACCUAGAAUAUGGGAGAGGUAGAUGGAAUUUCUGGUGUAUGGGUAAAAUCCGUAGAGAUCAGAAGGAAUACCGAUUGCGAAGGCGAUCUACUGGAACAUUAUUGACGCUGAGAUGCGAAAGCGUG
rnacentral:rRNA from 1 species